AAUGAACGUUGGCGGCGUGGAUUAGGCAUGCAAGUCGUACGAGAAUCGUAGCAAUACGAGGAAAGUGGCGGAAGGGAGAGGAUUACGUGGGAAUCUACCCUCAGAACUGGGAUAGCGACGGGAAACUGCCGGUAAUACCAGAUAAUGUCUGUGGACCAAAGGUGUGAUUCCGUCUGGGGAUGAGCCCACGUCCUAUUAGCUAGUUGGCAGGGUAAUGGCCUACCAAGGCAAUGAUGGGUAGCGGGUGUGAGAGCAUGACCCGCCUCACUGGGACUGAGAACUGCCCAGACACCUACGGGUGGCUGCAGUCGAGAAUCUUCGGCAAUGAGCGCAAGCUUGACCGAGCGACGCCGCGCGGGAUGAAGGCCUUCGGGUUGUAAACCGCUGUCGUAGGGGAGCAAGAGAUGAGGGUACUCCCUCUGAUUUGAGCGAUCCUAGGAGGAAGGACGGGCUAAGUUCGUGCCAGCAGCCGCCGCCGUAA
rnacentral:rRNA from 1 species